rnacentral:rRNA from 1 species
UACGUAGGGCGCAAGCGUUAUCCGGAAUUAUUGGGCGUAAAGAGCUCGUAGGCGGUUUGUCGCGUCUGCCGUGAAAACCCGAGGCUCAACCUCGGGCCUGCAGUGGGUACGGGCAGACUAGAGUGCGGUAGGGGAGAUUGGAAUUCCUGGUGUAGCGGUGGAAUGCGCAGAUAUCAGGAGGAACACCGAUGGCGAAGGCGACUACCGUGGCCUGUUCUUGACGCUGAGGCGCGAAAGCUAGGGGAGCAAACGGG